AUCGAGUUAGUUUUCUUACGCACUCCGACGAGUGAACGUCAUAACUCCGUCUUUCCAAAUGAAAAAGUUUAGAAAUGAAUACUUUCGAUAAUUUUACAAUUAUUUAAACAAUUUUUAAUGUACGUGGAAUAUAAUAAACUAAUAUUUAAACAAUAGUAAAUUCGUUUAACGUCACAAAGAUCGUAAUACGAAAGAAACUUAAAAUUAUUUUAAUGAAAAAUAUCAACUUCGGGAUCAUUGGCCUUGUGUAAUAUAAACAUGUACGACUUUUAUUAACUUUGUUGUUUAUCGAGUUAGUUGUCUUACGCACUCCGACGAGUGAACGUCAUAACUCCGUCUUUCCAAAUGGAAAAGUUUAGAAAUGAAUACUUUCGAUAAUUUUACAAUUAUUUAAACAAUUUUUAAUUUUAGAAUUAAAUUGCGCAGUAGGGAUACUUGGCCACGCGUGACGAUAACAAAUUGGACCUUUGACCGACUUUGACAGUUAUUAGCUCAGUUCUGCUUUGAAUUUCGACGAGUCAACAUCGCAGGAUGCGAUCUCUGCGAGUAAUGACGAAGACUUAAUAAUGAAAUUGCGAAGUGGGGAUAUUCGACAACAAAAUCAGCCCUUUGACCGACUUUGACAAUUACUGAUUCAGUUCUACUUUGUAUUUCGACGAGUCGACAUCGCAGGAUGCGGUCUCUGCGAGUAAUAACGAAGACUUAAUAAUGAAAUUGCGAAGUGGGGAUAUUCGACAACAAAAUCAGCCCUUUGACCGACUUUGACAAUUACUGAUUCAGUUCUACUUUGUAUUUCGACGAGUCGACAUCGCAGGAUGCGGUCUCUGCGAGUAAUGACGAAGACUUAAUAAUGAAAUUGCGAAGUGGGGAUAUUCGACAACAAAAUCGGCCCUUUGACCGACUUUGACAAUUACUGGUUCAGUUCUACUUUGUAUUUCAACGAGAGAACUUAGAAAUUUUCGCUGGAUACCGUUCGUACGAGCUUCAACGAUGACUUAAAAAGUUCGUUGCAAUCGCGCGCGUUGCAACGAUGUAAUCGAGUGUUAGUAUCGCUAAAAUAAAUUUAUCGCGAGGUAGAAGCAGUGUUUGUUCGUUCGCGUGUCGCGAUUUAAACCAUAAGUGUAAACCAUAAGUGUUCUUGCGUAGACUGCGUGCAAUGCAGUCGAUAGAGUCAGUGUUUGUUCGCAAAGUUUUUUGCUCUUUUAACAGUCGUACAGACUGUACUUAUAAAAGAUAGUAGAGUUCCGCGAAUUAAAUUCAGUGAUCGUUCGCUAAUAAAUAACUAUCGCGAAUUAGAGUCAGUGCAUCACCGAAGAGGAUCUCGACCAACUUCGAUGUCAACCUACCUCAUUUUCAACCAACUACGAAUCAUCCACCCUCAAUUUCGACCUAAGUCGAGGACGAGUGUUUUGGAGCCAUCGCAGAACUUCUUAAGUAGUAAGUGAAUUUUUAAGUUCCUCCGAUCACUCGAUCAUGUCGAGGACAACAAAGGUCCGAAUCGGCACGAGUGAUUGGUUGUAAUUAAUAAGUAAAAGAGCGUUGAGUGACCACUAGUAAAUUUCUUUCGAUUUUUCAUUUUGAAAUUUCACAGGAUGGUUUUCGAGUUUCGUUAGAUUUAUUAGUUUUCUUCUACGUUUUAGAAUAAAGAUAGUUUAUGAUUGUUAUCGAAUGUUUUAUAGUAGUUGUUAGUACACAAAACAAAGAGGCUACAUGCCAAAGAGGCCCUCACAAAUUGUGGCUCAAGAGGGUAACUAUUAGACUAUUGAGUUAUUUUCGAAGGUUCGACAGAAACCUUCGAAAAUGGCUCUUAGUCAUAUUUUAAUUUUACUAUGUGGUCGUUCAAAAUGCUCUUAUGUAAUAAUAAUGCUGAUUUCAGAAACUCAGACGACGUAACAUCCCGUCUUCCAUCCCUCAUUGCCAUGUGUCCGCAAAUAGCAUUAUUAUAUAUUUUAUUCAUUUUUAUUAGUAACGUCGAGUAGUAAAUUUUUCUUUUAUUUACAUUUUCUUUUCUAAAGUUUCAUUAAAUUCAUAAUUCCUUAUUUUUAUAAAAGCAAAUUCUAUAUUCA